ACUUCAACGGUGCCGUGCCGUAUUGUACAACACGGCGUAAUUUGCCGGAUUUGCAGAUCGAUCAGCAAGCCAUUUUCAGAGCACGGCACACGGUUUUUUCACUUCUGGCCAAUCACAGUCCAGAUAAAUUACGUCAUUGCCCACAUAUUUUCUGAUCAAGCGACAAAUCGCCUGCGGUGAUAGUCUAUGGGAGUUUACGUGUUAAAUGCAAAAUCGCACAUACACGUAGGUCUACGUGUAUUACCUGCUGAAGAGAGGUGACUGAAGGAGGACUUGAUCUUGCAAUUCUUGGUCUGAUAACCAACAUGGAGGAAGCCCUUAUCCUAGAAGUGUAGGAAAAUCCAAUCCUGUAUGACAAGAUAUUGGAGAUGUUCAAGGAUACAGAAGUAAAAAAAUGAUCUAUGACAUGACAUUGGGCGUCAGCUUGUAAUCUCAGGUGACGUAGCGAGUUGAGGGACAACUUCCUAAAAAACGACAGAAAUGGAGAGGAAGAGUGGUGACGGAACUCCCUCAAAUGCAGCACGUAAAUACAAGUACAGUGAUCGAGGCAAUGGAAUUCCUACUUCGAUCCCCACAUACAUUAUCGAGA